rnacentral:lncRNA from 1 species
UGCCAGCUCAGUCUGGACCGUGAGCAGCAGCUUGUGCUGCAUGAGACCCCCCUCCAAAGCUUCGCAGCGGCAGCAAGCCAAGCCGAGGAGCGAGGAGCUCUGCCGCAUCCACCUCAAUCUCUCUCACCGAAUAACUGAUCAAGCCGCCGCCAACAGCAAAAGAGACGGCCGCCUCCGCCCAAGAGCCGCACAACACUUCGCCUCCUCCACCGCCGUCGCCCGGGCGCAAACGCGGCGAAUACCCUAGCUUUCACCGGCUCCACCAAAUCCCGAGAAUUCGCCCGCACCCGAGUUCCUUGGUCCGAAAUUGAGGUGACCAUCGUCUUCUACCCGCGAUAAAUCUCCUUUACCCUCUCUUUUUACUGGCAAGAUCACCGUAGCUCGCCGGAGCGACUCCCGCCCACCCGUUCCCCCGCCGCCGGGAAGGGAACGGUUGGAAUUUCACAGUUAAGAUGCAUAAAUGCAUUGUUAGAUAGAUUAACUCCAGGGGCAAAGCUUAGGAUAGUACUCUAUUACUUUAACUGGUGAUGCAUGUACUGAAAUUAUUCUGAAGACUGUCAAUGGCUCAAGUAGAAGUAGAGCUCCAAACCAAAGCCAAAAUCCGAAAACAAUGCCAAAACUCAGAGAGUAAAAUAAGAACUUAUCAAGUUCCUGAUGGUCUUCAUUUCUCAUCCAAUGUAGGUCCAUGGCAGGCUGUUCUCAAAGAGAAGCCACCUGAAAGCUCAAUGCAUAAUUAAGUCAAGGGACUCCCAAGAUAUAGUAAUUGCCAAUUCUUUCUGGAACACAUGCGUGAUAGAUUAUUCCCUGACAAGUUUAAAAACCAGAGGCCCUGAAGGUAUGUCAGCUAUUUUGGGGUUUCAAUGUAAAGUGAAAUGCUUUGUAAAUCAAUACCUGUCAUUAAACCAGCUGUUCUCUGUUUCUUCAGGUCCCUUCCAAUUACAUUUUUCUUACUCUUAAUACAAAGGAAGCACAUACUUCAUCAUCAGAAGGUUAAGGAAACACAGCUACAGAUAUUGGGCAGUAUU